rnacentral:rRNA from 1 species
UACAGAGGGUGCGAGCGUUAAUCGGAAUUACUGGGCGUAAAGCGCAUGUAGGCGGUUGGGCAAGUGGCGUGUGAAAGCUCCCGGCUAAACUGGGAGAGGACACGUCAGACUGCCCGGCUAGAGGUCGGUAGAGGGGCGCAGAAUUCGGGGUGUAGCGGUGAAAUGUGUAGAGAUCCCGAGGAAUACCAGUGGUGAAGACGGCGCCCUGGGCCGAACCUGACGCUGAGAUGCGAAAGCGUGGGGAGCGAACGGG